UGGCGGACGGGUGAGUAACGCGUGGGCAACCUGCCCCAUACAGGGGGAUAACAGUUAGAAAUGACUGCUAACACCGCAUAAGCGCACAGGGCCGCAUGGCCCGGUGUGAAAAACUCCGGUGGUAUGGGAUGGGCCCGCGUCUGAUUAGCCAGUUGGCGGGGUAACGGCCCACCAAAGCGACGAUCAGUAGCCGACCUGAGAGGGUGACCGGCCACAUUGGGACUGAGACACGGCCCAAACUCCUACGGAAGGCAGCAG
rnacentral:rRNA from 1 species